AUUCUACUCCCUCCGUUGCACAAUACAUGCCUUCUAUUUGUCAAAAUAUAUAUGUAUCUAGACAUGUUUUAGUAUAUAGGCACAUCCANUUUUAGUAUAUAGGCACAUCCAUUUUUGGACAAAUGGAAGUCAAGUAUUUUGGAACGGAGGGAGUACACA
rfam:Triticum aestivum genome assembly, contig: Triticum_aestivum_CS42_TGACv1_scaffold_321341_4BL